rnacentral:rRNA from 1 species
UACAGAGGUGGCAAGCGUUGUUCGGAAUUACUGGGCGUAAAGGGCGCGUAGGCGGUUUCGUAAGUCCUGUGUGAAAUCCCCCGGCUCAACUGGGGAACUGCACAGGAAACUGCGAGGCUUGAGUUCGGGAGAGGGAAGCGGAAUUCCAGGUGUAGCGGUGAAAUGCGUAGAUAUCUGGAGGAACACCGGUGGCGAAGGCGGCAUCCUGGACCGAGAUUGACGCUGAGGCGCGAAAGCCAGGGGAGCAAACGGG